UGAUGUUGGCUCAGUGUAUAGGACUGGUAGUCUAUUUUUUGUGAUAUCACCACCAACAACUCCUGAAAAACCUGAUUUCUCUGUUAGUCCAAUUGAAUUUACUAGUCCAUUCAUUGUACUUGGAGUAUUGAUCAUAUUGUCUAUUUGUUGGAUUGUGCUAAGGAUAUGUUGGAAGAGACAAUGUUGCUGUCCCAGGAUUUGGAGGAGUAGCUUUUGGUUGCUUUUCUUCUGCUAUGAUUGUUGUACUUAUGAUGCUG